GUUUUUGCCUGCAUGUACGUCUCUGUACCAUUUGUGUGUGAAGUGAAUGCAGAGGGCAGAAUAUGGUGUCACAGCCCCUGGAACCGAAUUGCGGGAAGUCGAGCAUCGGGGAGCCCGGGGUCUCACAGAGGGCAUGGCUCUCUUGGCAGCUGUCACACCCCAGGGCAGCGCUGCAGUUGCGCUGCACACAAUCAAUGCCAUCUUGGCUGACCAGGCUUGGGUUCCCAGAUACCCAGGGCCUUAGGCCAGCCGAGCCAAGCCAAGCCGAGCCCAGCCGAGCCCAGCCGAGCCCGGAAGAGAUGAGAAGACGAAAGAUGAGAGAAGAAAAGGGAAGAGAAGAGAAACAGCAUGUGUUGAGCCCAGAUGAGCACCCGAGAGACUCCACCUCAGAGCCUUGAGUCUGGCUCAAUGACAAUAACCUGAGUCUUUACGGUCCCCUGGAAAGAAGAGACACUGGAGACUGGGACUGUGCAAAGAGACCUUCGCUGAUGGCGACUACAUUUCUACCUGCACGAGCUUUCGGAAUACUCUGGAAAAGGACCAGCUCUUAGAAUGAAAUCGCCCCACCUGCCAGAGGACCCAGCAGACUGGUGCCCCAUGUGAGGAAUGUCUCUUCAAUGGAAGAACGCUGACAGGCCAAUCGAUCCUGGCUAAAGAUGGAUGUCCCUACACUGCAGAGGAACCUUGAGUGACUGUCCAGGCUGUCAGCUGUUUCUGUCAUUUCUAUA